rnacentral:rRNA from 1 species
UACAGGGGGUGCAAACGUUGCUCGGAAUUAUUGGGCGUAAAGCGCGCGUAGGCGGCCACUUAAGUCGGAUGUGAAAGCCCCUGGCUCAACUGGGGAAGUGCACCCGAAACUGAAUGGCUUGAAUGCAAAAGAGGGUCGCGGAAUUCCCGGUGUAGAGGUGAAAUUCGUAGAUAUUAGGAAGAACACCAGUGGCGAAGGCGGCUCACUGGCCCGGUACUGACGCUGAGGCGCGAAAGCGUGGGGAGCAAACAGG